rnacentral:rRNA from 1 species
AACGAACGCUGGCGGCAUGCCUAACACAUGCAAGUCGAACGAACCCUUCGGGGUUAGUGGCGCACGGGUGCGUAACGCGUGGGAACCUGCCUUUAGGUUCGGAAUAACUCAGAGAAAUUUGAGCUAAUACCGGAUAAUGUCUUCGGACCAAAGAUUUAUCGCCUUUAGAUGGGCCCGCGUUAGAUUAGAUAGUUGGUGGGGUAAUGGCCUACCAAUCGACGAUCUAUAGCUGGUCUGAGAGGAUGAUCAGCCACACUGGGACUGAGACACGGCCCAGACUCCUACGGGAGGCAGCAGUGGGGAAUAUUGGACAAUGGGCGAAAGCCUGAUCCAGCAAUGCCGCGUGAGUGAUGAAGGCCUUAGGGUUGUAAAGCUCUUUUACCAGGGAUGAUAAUGACAGUACCUGGAGAAUAAAGCUCCGGCUAACUCCGUGCCAGCAGCCGCGGUAAUACGGAGGGAGCUAGCGUUGUUCGGAAUUACUGGGCGUAAAGCGCGCGU